rnacentral:rRNA from 1 species
CUGGCGGCGCGCCUAACACAUGCAAGUCGAACGGAGCUUGCACUUCUGAAGUUUCGGAUGGACGAGGUACAAGCUUAGUGGCGAACGGGUGAGUAACACGUGAAGAACCUGCCCUUCAGUGGGGGACAACAGUUGGAAACGACUGCUAAUACCGCAUAAGACCACAGUACCGCAUGGUACAGUGAUCAAAGGAUUUAUUCGCUGAAGGAUGGCUUCGCGUCCGAUUAGGUAGUUGGUGAGGUAACGGCCCACCAAGCCUACGAUCGGUAGCCGGACUGAGAGGUUGAUCGGCCACAUUGGGACUGAGACACGGCCCAGACUCCUACGGGAGGCAGCAGUGGGGAAUAUUGCACAAUGGAGGAAACUCUGAUGCAGCGACGCCGCGUGAGGGAAGAAGGUCUUCGGAUUGUAAACCUCUGUCUUCAGGGACGAUAAUGACGGUACCUGAGGAGGAAGCACCGGCUAACUACGUGCCAGCCGCCGC